AGCACAUGUAAACACACACUUUGGAACCAGCAGAAAACUCAUAACCACCCAUCCAGAUCCAGUUUAAAUAUGAUUUGUUCUGUAACGUGUUCACAAAUGCUGCAGAGCAGAAUUAAUUAAUUACCCUCCUCUUUGUGGUCCCAUACAUACAUGAAUACUGGUCACCAAUUUUCAUGGAGUUUAAUACCAGUAUGCAAUAUUUACAUGCCAAAGUGAACUAAAAGUGGAAUAUUAACAUCUCAAGAUCUCCAAGAUUUUAAGAAGGAAAUCCAAAACUAUGUUGGCAGUGACAAUGAAAAGUGUCUUCUAUCUAGAAAUAAAACAGAAUAUGAAGAAAAAAACAACGGUGCUGUCAGAGAAAAGUACUAGAGAUACAGCAACAUUAAAAAAAAAGUUUUUUUAAUAAUAAUAGUAAUGAAGAAGAAUAAGAAGGAGGGAAAAGAGAAAAGACUAAGAAGAGCCAUGCCCAGACCUGAUAAAAAGAUUAUGGAGCACCAUUCAGAGAUCCUGGACUCGAAAAUUGAUUCAGUCACUGGAUGGAACUUUGGGCCAUGAAUUGAGUGCCUGCCAUAUUGACACACUCGGACCACAAUGAAGAAAAUAACCACCGACCCUGUGGAAGUUUUAGCUAAUGAAAAUAAGUUCCUGAGUAUCCAUGUACUAUUGGAUGCUCAGCAUUAUUAUCAGGAUUCAUUACUUAAUAUAUAUAGGAAUUUAAGAACAUUUUCUCAAGGAAAAUUUCAUUAUUCUUAUUGAAUUCAGGAAAAAUAUUUCUUACUAAGUUUAGUGAUAUCAAACUACAUGAAACUAAAAGUAGCUUAUUAAGACCAAUAGCCAAGUUCAUUUUUAAUGUCUUUACCCUACAAAUCAACAAAACUUAUCCAUGAAAAGAGGAAUAUUGAUCAAUUACUUGAAUGUUUUAUUAAAUUCGAACCUUUGGUAUCACAGCAAAAA